rnacentral:rRNA from 1 species
GACGAACGCUGGCGGCGUGCUUAACACAUGCAAGUCGAACGAAGAGCGACGGAAGCUUGCUUCUAUCAAUCUUAGUGGCGAACGGGUGAGUAACGCGUAAUCAACCUGCCCUUCAGAGGGGGACAACAGUUGGAAACGACUGCUAAUACCGCAUACGAUCUAAUCUCGGCAUCGAGGAUGGAUGAAAGGUGGCCUCUACAUGUAAGCUAUCACUGAAGGAGGGGAUUGCGUCUGAUUAGCUAGUUGGAGGGGUAACGGCCCACCAAGGCGAUGAUCAGUAGCCGGUCUGAGAGGAUGAACGGCCACAUUGGGACUGAGACACGGCCCAGACUCCUACGGGAGGCAGCAGUGGGGAAUCUUCCGCAAUGGACGAAAGUCUGACGGAGCAACGCCGCGUGAGUGAUGACGGCCUUCGGGUUGUAAAGCUUUGUUAAUCGGGACGAAAGGCCUUCUUGCGAAUAGUGAGAAGGAUUGGCGGUACCGGAAUAGAAAGCCACGGCUAACUACGUG